GGGGCCUGCACAAGCGGUGGAGCAUGUGGUUAAUUCGAAGCAACGCGCAGAACCUUACCAGCGUUUGACAUCCUGAUCGCAGUUACCAGAGAUGGUUUCCUUCAGUUCGGCUGGAUCAGUGACAGGUGCUGCAUGGCUGUCGUCAGCUCGUGUCGUGAGAUGUUGGGUUAAGUCCCGCAACGAGCGCAACCCUCAUCCCUAGUUGCCAUCAUUCAGUUGGGCACUCUAAGGAAACUGCCGGUGAUAAGCCGGAGGAAGGUGGGGAUGACGUCAAGUCCUCAUGGCCCUUACGCGCUGGGCUACACACGUGCUACAAUGGCGGUGACAGUGGGCAGCAACUCCGCGAGGAGUAGCUAAUCUCCAAAAACCGUCUCAGUUCGGAUUGUUCUCUGCAACUCGAGAGCAUGAAGGCGGAAUCGCUAGUAAUCGCGGAUCAGCAUGCCGCGGUGAAUACGUUCCCAGGCCUUGUACACACCGCCCGUCACACCAUGGGAGUUGGUUUCACCCGAAGGCAGUGCUCUAACCCGCAAGGGAGGAAGCUGACCACGGUGGGAUCAGCGACUGGGGUGAAGUCGUAACAAGGUAGCCGUA
rnacentral:rRNA from 1 species